rnacentral:tRNA from 1 species
GGGGCCGUAGCUCAGUUGGGAGAGCGCCGCGAUGGCAUCGCGGAGGCCAGGGGUUCGAGCCCCCUCGGCUCCA